rnacentral:tRNA from 6 species
GACGCUGUAGUGUAGCGGUUAACACGCGGCUCUCAUGAGGCCGAGAUCGAGGGUUCAACUCCCUCCAGCGUCA